rnacentral:rRNA from 1 species
UUUUAUGGAGAGUUUGAUCCUGGCUCAGGAUGAACGCUGGCGGCGUGCCUAAUACAUGCAAGUCGAGCGAACGGACGAGAAGCUUGCUUCUCUGAUGUUAGCGGCGGACGGGUGAGUAACACGUGGAUAACCUACCUAUAAGACUGGGAUAACUUCGGGAAACCGGAGCUAAUACCGGAUAAUAUUUUGAACCGCAUGGUUCAAAAGUGAAAGACGGUCUUGCUGUCACUUAUAGAUGGAUCCGCGCUGCAUUAGCUAGUUGGUAAGGUAACGGCUUACCAAGGCAACGAUGCAUAGCCGACCUGAGAGGGUGAUCGGCCACACUGGAACUGAGACACGGUCCAGACUCCUACGGGAGGCAGCAGUAGGGAAUCUUCCGCAAUGGGCGAAAGCCUGACGGAGCAACGCCGCGUGAGUGAUGAAGGUCUUCGGAUCGUAAAACUCUGUUAUUAGGGAAGAACAUAUGUGUAAGUAACUGUGCACAUCUUGACGGUACCUAAUCAGAAAGCCACGGCUAACUACGUGCCAGCAGCCGCGGUAAUACGUAGGUGGCAAGCGUUAUCCGGAAUUAUUGGGCGUAAAGCGCGCGUAGGCGGUUUUUUAAGUCUGAUGUGAAAGCCCACGGCUCAACCGUGGAGGGUCAUUGGAAACUGGAAAACUUGAGUGCAGAAGAGGAAAGUGGAAUUCCAUGUGUAGCGGUGAAAUGCGCAGAGAUAUGGAGGAACACCAGUGGCGAAGGCGACUUUCUGGUCUGUAACUGACGCUGAUGUGCGAAAGCGUGGGGAUCAAACAGGAUUAGAUACCCUGGUAGUCCACGCCGUAAACGAUGAGUGCUAAGUGUUAGGGGGUUUCCGCCCCUUAGUGCUGCAGCUAACGCAUUAAGCACUCCGCCUGGGGAGUACGACCGCAAGGUUGAAACUCAAAGGAAUUGACGGGGACCCGCACAAGCGGUGGAGCAUGUGGUUUAAUUCGAAGCAACGCGAAGAACCUUACCAAAUCUUGACAUCCUUUGACAACUCUAGAGAUAGAGCCUUCCCCUUCGGGGGACAAAGUGACAGGUGGUGCAUGGUUGUCGUCAGCUCGUGUCGUGAGAUGUUGGGUUAAGUCCCGCAACGAGCGCAACCCUUAAGCUUAGUUGCCAUCAUUAAGUUGGGCACUCUAAGUUGACUGCCGGUGACAAACCGGAGGAAGGUGGGGAUGACGUCAAAUCAUCAUGCCCCUUAUGAU